rnacentral:rRNA from 1 species
CAGUAGCCGCGGGAAUACGAAGGGGGCUAGCGUUGUUCGGAAUUACUGGGCGUAAAGCGCACGUAGGCGGCCUUGUAAGUUAGAGGUGAAAGCCCGGAGCUCAACUCCGGAAUUGCCUUUAAGACUGCAGAGCUAGCAGGUGAGAGAGGUGAGUGGAAUUCCGAGUGUAGAGGUGAAAUUCGUAGAUAUUCGGAAGAACACCAGUGGCGAAGGCGGCUCACUGGCUCAUACUGGACGCUGAGGUGCGAAAGCGUGGGGAGCAAACAGGAUUAGAUACCCCCGUAGUCCCUGUCUCUUAUAC